rnacentral:lncRNA from 1 species
ACCCCUAAGGAACUAGAGAGUCAGCGUCGGCCUGUGAUUCAGGUGGUAGAUGAGCGGAUGCUGGUGUUUGACCCCGAGGAGUGUGAUGGGGGAUUUCCUGGCCUAAAAUGGAGUGGCUCCCUCAGUGGCCCCAAGAAGAAGGGCAAAGACCUGACAUUUGUCUUUGACCGGGUCUUCAGUGAGGUGGCCACUCAACAGGAUGUGUUCCAGCACACUACACACAACAUCCUUGACAGCUUUCUCCAGGGUUACAACUGCUCAGUGUUUGCCUAUGGAGCCACUGGGGCUGGGAAGACACACACCAUGCUGACUGCACCUCAGAUAAGACGUCCCAAAAGCCUACCAAGGAGAAGAAAAGGAAACUGAACCUCGAAGAGCCAGGCAGCCUACCAGCCCCCAGUGUGGAGAUGAAGCGCCAACGCCAGUCCUUCGUCCGCAGAUCCACCCUUGAGCCUCCACUGCCUUGAUGACCAUCAAGUCAUAAGGGACUGAUUGGGGUGACAAGGUGCUGUUAACUGAGCGUCCUGACCACGAGGGACUCUUGGCAUCCACUCUUGUUCUCAUCUGCCAACAGCCUUUUCUUGUCCUUGGAGCUGCCAAUGGCAAGAGUCCCUGGCCUGCCUUCCUCACCUGGGAGCAAUCAAUUACCACCACCAUGCCUUAACUCUGUUACCGCCCUCCCCAGCUACUCAUCUACGUGCCUUCUUUAUUAGUCUGUCACACUUGACUUCUUGGUAUAUACGUAUCCUCUGUGAGUGUUAAGCCUGUGGCUAUACUAAGGAUCCUGUCAGGCUUGCUCAUCCCCAAAGCCUCCAUGCAAGCAGGGAACUCCUGGGCUCUGGUCUUCACCUCUCAGCUUCAUGUCUGACAACAGGGCUCUGCAUAGUGAAGGUGGGUGAGGGCAAGAGGACUUGUCGGCUUAGCUCUCCUGGUGCUAACACAGCAUACAUCCAGAACGUAAGGAGAGAGCCUUGGGUAUAAACGCUAGCUGGCUGUGUUGGUAUUUAGGUGUCCUUCUUAUCUUUGGCUUCUCCAUAUUCACAUGUAUUUAUGUGUACACAUAGGUGUAUGCCUAUAGAUGUAUAGAGUUUUUUGUUGUAAUAAUUAAUAAACAUCUCCAUCUCUGGUGUCUUCUUC